GAGGGGGUGUCGGAGUGGCCAAACGAGCAGGAUUUAAGCUCCUGUGGCUUAGUGCCUACGCAGGNNCGCAGGUUCGAAUCCUGUCCCCCUCA
rnacentral:tRNA from 1 species